UACGUAGGGUGCAAGCGUUAUCCGGAAUUAUUGGGCGUAAAGAGCUUGUAGGCGGUUUGUCGCGUCUGCUGUGAAAAUCCGGGGCUCAACCCCGAACUUGCAGUGGGUACGGGCAGACUAGAGUGUGGUAGGGGAGACUGGAAGUUCCUGGUGUAGCGGUGGAAUGCGUAGAUAUCGGAAGGAACACCGGUGGCGAAAGCGGCGCGCUGGAUCCCUACUGACGCUGAGGCACGAAAGCCAGGGGAGGCAAACGGG
rnacentral:rRNA from 1 species